UUGAUGAAACCCUAAUCUGAUUGGAUUAGGUCAGCUUAAGAGUCACAAUCAACUAGAACUCUUCCUAAUUGAUUCUAGAAUUAAACUUUUUUAAUUCUGAAGAGUCCAAAAGUCAAGAUUGAUAUCUAGCAAUGUAUCAUGACUAUCCAAAAAAUUUAAAAUUUGAUGAAAAUAUCAAAAUUAUCCUUCUGUGAUGAGUUACGGUGUAAUUUAAUCCUUCGAUCACACAACAUCUCGAAAAGACUAUGGGUAUGAAAAUAUAUC
rnacentral:lncRNA from 1 species